rnacentral:rRNA from 1 species
AUUGAACGCUGGCGGCAUGCCUUACACAUGCAAGUCGAACGGUUACAGGUCUUCGGAUGCUGACGAGUGGCGAACGGGUGAGUAAUACAUCGGAACGUGCCUAGUAGUGGGGGAUAACUACUCGAAAGAGUGGCUAAUACCGCAUGAGAUCUACGGAUGAAAGCAGGGGAUCGCAAGACCUUGUGCUACUAGAGCGGCCGAUGGCAGAUUAGGUAGUUGGUGGGAUAAAAGCUUACCAAGCCGACGAUCUGUAGCUGGUCUGAGAGGACGAUCAGCCACACUGGGACUGAGACACGGCCCAGACUCCUACGGGAGGCAGCAGUGGGGAAUUUUGGACAAUGGGCGCAAGCCUGAUCCAGCAAUGCCGCGUGCAGGAUGAAGGCCUUCGGGUUGUAAACUGCUUUUGUACGGAACGAAAAGCCCUGGGUUAAUACCCUGGGGUCAUGACGGUACCGUAAGAAUAAGCACCGGCUAACUACAUGCCAGCCGCCGCCGUAAGAC